CCUCGAAAAACGUAAUUACACGCAUUUUUACUUCCGGUUGUGUAAAGUGUGUUAUCUUGGACGAACUGCGCGCGUGUGUAAGUUUUUCAGGUGGCAAGGUCACGUGGAAGAGAAUAGAGAUGAAUAAGGAAAUGCGAAAUCGCGCUGCUCCAUGAUAUGGUCUCAUCACUUGUAAGUUGUUUGCGUUUGGUAUAAGCAUUUAAAUCACAUUGAAUCACGUUGAAACUGGUGAUGAAAGAUAUUAAUGUAAAUUGUGUUAAGUCACAUGGGAUACAUAUCUCUAUCGCCGCCAUUGCGCGUUCUUGGAACGAGCGCGACGGUGACAUUGCGGUGUGCGGCCUCUCGGACGAGAAGACUGGGCUUACGUUGGAUGCAAGUUAUUGUCGUCCGGCAAGGUUUUAAAAAGUGAUGUUAUAGCUACUGGAUAUUGAAGCGAUUGAAGACCAGAAAGCCUUAGUGCGACCGGCUUGAUUCAGGUGGCCUAUAUGUAUACCAUUGGGAGAGUUAAAGAAGUUUAGUCCUCUAAAAGAAGUCCUCCGGAAAGUUUACUGCAACAAAGGGAAAAAUCUGGACGAGGUCGACUACCUCAACAGCGCACCAAUGGCAGAAGAGGACGAUCCGGAGGACAUGGGUGAAGACGAUUGUGUGGUGGAGGUCGCAAAUGUCCUACCUGGACAAAAAGCCAAGAGGGGAAGGGAGACUUGUUUCCGGAGGAGACAUCUUCACAUCGAGAGACUAACAAUGACGCUCAGGAAAAAAAACACCACUGGCAAAAAAGACGUAUUGCCUGGUGCAAUGCGGAAAAGGCAGCUGUGAUGAGGCAGCUUGGCAUGUUUGUUAGCCACAUGGAGGUUUCUGGCCAAGCUGCAUGCUUACGUGCCCUGUCAGCAGAAAAUGCUCUGUCCUAGCGCUCAUGGAGAGAUGUUAAAUCCAUGUCCAUAACGUGAUUGUUAGAGCACGUCGUAAGGCGAAAUGAGUCUCAGUGACUUACACAUUAGAUGUCGACUUCGUUCACGUUUGGAUGAUGCUCGCUAGUAAAUUUCGCAACGACAAAAACGAUCUCCUUGUUGUUGCUCCCGUUUAUAGUAGCAAUCUGUGUAGGUGGAGCUGAUGAACGGUGAAAAAGCAGUGCUCACCAAGGGCAGUAUGGCGAGAUUUGCAAUUCUGGGCGGAAGAUGACACCUAAGCACGGAAAUAGACCCACCCCAUUGGUAAAAAUGCGUUAUACCUGAAUGUCAGUUUGGAAGCAAAUUAGGUGUGUCAUUCUCCUGUCGCAUCUUUCCAAUACAGGAUUCAAUGCAAAUGCUUCUUUCUCUACGUCAUUUUUGAGAUCCGUUGGCAAAUCUGACACCACUACACUUAACCAAAGCACACUUGUUACAUUGGGAAGUGGUGGGCCACAGGGGCCUUUGACUAGUUUUUGAAGACUGGAAUGGGCGCGUGGGCGUCGAGCACGAAAUCUCGCAUCAGCCAAACAGCCGACAUGUUUAUGAGGCAGCUCGUUUGGCUUCAGUGACUGACUGCAAUGACUGUAACGACUGACUCAUUGAUUUUAGUGUUGCACGGUCCUCCUUCCUCGGUCAGCAGCUGAUUGCUACAUCCCGCCGCACCAUAGAUUCCACUUGUAUGAAGAAAGUGCAUAUGCGUAAUUGACACGUAUAUAAAAAACCCAACACACGCAAGCCGUGGGAAAGGCACAUUUAACAGGUAGCGUGAGCACGUGACUCACAGUUACACCAACAGCGAACCAUUAACCCACACUCAGUCGCAUAAGAGGCCAUCAUUAAGUAGACCGCUGCAUUGACGCCGGCACAAGCCGUAUCCCAAGCGCGGGCUACAAACUGUACCCCACCAAUCGAGGCCGCCGCGCACUCGCGCCGCCAGUCACAUCCACAGCAUUAGAGGCUGUGUACUGUCGCCCUAAGACACCGGGGUUCGCGAGCAGGGUCGAGCAACAUGGGCUUUGUAUACUGACUGGAACGCCGACAGUGUAGAAGAGACUGUCGGAGUCACCUGCGAAUGAGAUGAACGGCGGCUGCCCACCGAAGCACCUGAAACUGCAGUAGCUCGGUCAGCAGAUAAACAGUUCCAGCAGCACCUCGAGUCAAUUUUUCCACCGCUGUCUGGCGCGUCGCCUCCGUUGCCCGCUCCUCAGCCCCGGCCGCCCUCUGCUGCAACCGUUGCAACAGCAGAAGCUUCGGGAAAACCGCCGUCGAGUAGUGUGCCGCCGACCGGGUCAUUGAUGAUGCUUUAGCACUAUUAGCACUAUUAGUGCUAAAGGGUCAUGGAAACCCAAAAGGCGUUGGUUGCCCUUUCUCCUACUCUUA